ACACGAGAAGGGAGGUGAUCGGACAGAUGGUUUCAGUCCGGACGCGUGAGGUGACUGCGGGCUAGCGCCCGUCGUCGCGCAGAGCGCAGCGCCGGGUCUUCCGGGUCCUGACGGGCCCCGGGGAAGCCGGCCCAAUUCCCAGCAGUCACCCGAUCCGUGGGCCGCCGAGUCGUCCGCUCGGCACCGCCGCGCCACGAGGCGCGACGGUCAGCGGCCCACGGAUCGCCUGCG
rnacentral:sRNA from 1 species